AAGAACCCCUCCUUAACUAACCAAACAAAACACUCUCUUCUAAACAAUAGAAAACAAAAGAGAGGGAAAGGCCUACAGAAGACAGAGCAGAUGAAAGGAAAGCAAGGGACUGAAACAAAGAACUACCAUUCUUCUAAUCAGAGUUUUCUGGGUUCCAGAUGACAGACAUCAUGAUAUAAUGACACUUGCUUGAAACUUUUACUCAUUGUGGCUGAAAGGUCACUAUCCGGUCUACGCAAGCUGCUAGCAGAAGAACUGUAAAUUAAUUUCAUCUAGUGGCCAAAAGAAAACACGCAGCUCCUACUCCUUGGCUUUUUUGUUGUUGCCUGUGUUUCCACAAGUCCCUCCAAGUUACAAAGUCUUCCCUGAGGGAAUCACCUCUCCUUCCAUUACUGAAUCACCAAAAGCCUGGAGAGAGCAUGACUGAGUUAUGUCCCCUUCUGGAGUUGCCUGCCAGUGACAAGCUGAACAGAGUAAAUAAAAAAGCUAAUUUCCUUUUUCAAAAAUUUUGUAACGUAUUACUGAAAACACACACCUAUGUAUAAUCUUAUAAAAAUAUUACUGAAAUAUGAGUGUUUUGCAGGAGU